AUUGAACGCUGGCGGCAGGCCUAACACAUGCAAGUCGAACGGCAGCAGGGGUGUUGCUACCUGAUGGCGAGUGGGACAGGGGUGUGUAAUCUAGGAGCAUGCGUCGUAUAGGGGGGGAAAGUCCGGCGACAGGCGGAAUUAUACCAUAUACGCUGUGCGGAAAAGUGGGGGAGACUUUCGCGCCUCGCACUCUGGUGUGCCUAGGUCGGAUUAGCUAGUUGGUGGGGUAAAGGCCUACCAAGGCGACGAUCCGUAGCUGGUCUGAGAGGACGACCAGCCACACUGGAACUGAGACACGGCCCAGACUCCUACGGGAGGCAGCAGUGGGGAAUAUUGGACAAUGGGCGAAAGCCUGAUCCAGCCAUGCCGCGUGUGUGAAGAAGGCCUUCGGAUUGUAAAGCACUUUUGUUUGGAAAGAAGGCCAUGGAGCUAAUACCGUCCUGGUAUGACGGUACCGACAGAAUAAGCACCGGCUAACUACGUG
rnacentral:rRNA from 1 species